AUUGAACGCUGGCGGCAGGCCUAACACAUGCAAGUCGAGCGAGGGGCGGACGGGAGAGUAAUGUAUGGGGACUGCCCGAUAGAGGGGGAUAACUACUGGAAACGGUGGCUAAUACCGCAUAGCAUCGGAUAACCCAUAUGGGAUUAGCUAGUAGGUGGGGUAAAGGCUCACCUAGGCGACGAUCUCUAGCUGGUCUGAGAGGAUGAUCGGCCACACUGGAACUGAGACACGGCCCAGACUCCUACGGAGGCAGCAGUGGGGAAUAUUGCACAAUGGGCGCAAGCCUGACGCAGCAAUGCCGCGUGUAUGAAGAAGGCCUUAGGGUUGUAAAGUACUGUCAUCGGGGAGGCGUUACCCGCUGAAGAAGCACCGGCUAACUCCGUGCCAGCAGCCGCGGUAAUAC
rnacentral:rRNA from 1 species